GACGAACGCUGGCGGCGUGCCUAAUACAUGCAAGUAGAACGCUGAAGGAGGAGCUUGCUCUUCUGGAUGAGUUGCGAACGGGUGAGUAACGCGUAGGUAACCUGCCUGGUAGCGGGGGAUAACUAUUGGAAACGAUAGCUAAUACCGCAUAACAGUAGAUAUUGCAUGAUAUCUGCUUGAAAGGUGCAAUUGCAUCACUACCAAAUGGACCUGCGUUGUAUUAGCUAGUUGGUGGGGUAACGGCUCACCAAGGCGACGAUACAUAGCCGACCUGAGAGGGUGAUCGGCCACACUGGGACUGAGACACGGCCCAGACUCCUACGGGAGGCAGCAGUAGGGAAUCUUCGGCAAUGGACGGAAGUCUGACCGAGCAACGCCGCGUGAGUGAAGAAGGUUUUCGGAUCGUAAAGCUCUGUUGUAAGAGAAGAACGAGUGUGAGAGUGGAAAGUUC
rnacentral:rRNA from 1 species